CUAGCUUCAGGUAAAAAGAGACCGUACUCCAAACCGACACAGGUGAUCAGGUAGAGAAUACCAAGGCGCUUGAGAGAACUCGGGUGAAGGAACUAGGCAAAAUGGCACCGUAACUUCGGGAGAAGGUGCACCGCUUUUGGUGAUGGGAUUUACUCCCUAAGCUGAGGGCGGUCGAAGAUACCAGGCCCCUGCAACUGUUUAUUAAAAACACAGCACUCUGCAAACACGUAAGUGGACGUAUAGGGUGUGACGCCUGCCCGGUGCCGGAAGGUUAAUUGAUGGGGUUAGCGCAAGCGAAGCUCUUGAUCGAAGCCCCGGUAAACGGCGGCCGUAACAAUAACGGUCCUAAGGUAGCGAAAUUCCUUGUCGGGUAAGUUCCGACCUGCACGAAUGGCGUAAUGAUGGGGGCGCUGUCUCCACCCGAGACUCAGUGAAAUUGAAAUCGCGGUUAAGAUGCCGUGUACCCGCGGCUAGACGGAAAGACCCCGUGAACCUUUACUAUAGCUUUGCACUGAACUUUGAACCUAUCUGUGUAGAUAGGUGGGAGGCUUUGAAGUCGAGACGCUAGUUUCGAUGGAGCCGUCCUUGAAAUACCACCCUGGUAUGUUUGAGGUUCUAACGUCGGCCCCUUAUCGGGGUUACGGACAGUGUAUGGUGGGUAGUUUGACUGGGGCGGUCUCCUCCCAAAGAGUAACGGAGGAGCACGAAGGUGUGCUAAUCAUGGUCGGAAAUCAUGAGGUUAGUGUAAAGGCAAAAGCACGCUUGACUGCGAGACAGACAUGUCGAGCAGGUACGAAAGUAGGUCUUAGUGAUCCGGUGGUUCUGUAUGGAAGGGCCAUCGCUCAACGGAUAAAAGGUACUCCGGGGAUAACAGGCUGAUACCGCCCAAGAGUUCACAUCGACGGCGGUGUUUGGCACCUCGAUGUCGGCUCAUCACAUCCUGGGGCUGAAGCCGGUCCCAAGGGUAUGGCUGUUCGCCAUUUAAAGUGGUACGCGAGCUGGGUUUAGAACGUCGUGAGACAGUUCGGUCCCUAUCUGCCGUGGGCGUUGGAGAUUUGAGAAGAGUUGUUCCUAGUACGAGAGGACCGGAAUGAACGAACCUCUGGUGUUCGGGUUGUCAUGCCAAUGGCAUUGCCCGGUAGCUACGUUCGGACGGGAUAACCGCUGAAAGCAUCUAAGCGGGAAGCCUCCUUCAAGAUGAGAUCUCCCUGGGACUUUAAGUCCCCUAAAGAGCCGUUGAAGACUACGACGUUGAUAGGUUGGGUGUGGAAGCGCAGCGAUGCGUUGAGCUAACCAAUACUAAUUGCUCGUGCGGCUUGACC
rnacentral:rRNA from 1 species